UGGCCCGUAGUUCAACUGGUUAGAACGUCGGACUUUGACUCCGGAUGUUGCAGGUUCGAGUCCUGCCGGGCCAGCCC
rnacentral:tRNA from 1 species